rfam:Paracoccus sediminis strain DSM 26170 genome assembly, contig: Ga0170460_101
GGUUCGGGAGCCGCGCGGUGGGACGCACGGCACGAAUUGGACCUUAUCCCCCUGCAUUCGUAGGCCCGUGUCCUGGGUGCCCCGACCCGGACCGCG